AUGUUCACUUCAGCAACAUAUAUACUAAAAUUGGAACAACACAGAGAAGACUAACAUGGCCCCUGCACAGGGGUGACGUCCAGAUUCAUGAAGUGUUCCAUAUUUAA
rnacentral:snRNA from 1 species